rnacentral:lncRNA from 1 species
AAAAAGCUGCUCCUGUGCUCGCUGUGUGUGGUUGGUGAGCUUCAUCCCCUGUUUUGUGCAGGUGGAGAUAAGCUCAUGGGAACUCCCGAAGCUUAACAGCAGUGUGUGAGCCGGGUGGGGGAGAGGCAGCGUUCUGCUCCUGCAUCCCAUUGCAGUGCACAUCUGUGCGUGCUUGUUUUCAGGGCUUGUUUUCCUCCUCCAAAGCCAUCUGCCUGCACUCAAGCCAAAAAUGAAACUAUCUAAGCCUCCCAUGGGCUCAACCUACCUGUGGCAUGCAGGCUCCACGUGGCCCUGGUGCAGGGAUGUGCCCCUUUCACUGAACAGUUUGAGAGGGCUGAGAUGCCUGUGCCUUUUCCAUCUCAACGUGACACCCAAACUCUGCAAAACGGGAAACAGCACGCUUGUUUGGGAACAGGGCUGCAUUACAGCCUCAGAGGGGCGAGGACCUCAGCAAGACCCUCAUUGGGCUGCUCUGCAUUGUGUGCUUCCACCCACUGCCAACUGCUGCCGGAUGCAGAGCUGGGUUCCCCGGGACUUGUGCUUUGGUUACACUGUGCGAAUAACAUCUUUUUUUUGUCUCCUUAGGUGGAGGUUCUUCCAGCUUUAAGAAAACCUUUGCUAACCCGUGCUUGGCCAUUGCCCAGCCAGGAGAGCAGCAGAGACCUUUCCCUUGGAACGCCUGGAGAAAGGAGCAGAUGAAAUCCUGCUGGUUGGAGGGUGGCAAGAAGCAAGCGAGCCCUGCUGGGGAAACUGCUAUGGAGCAGAGGAGAAAAACUCACCCACUCCGUUCAGGAAGGAUGAGGAGGCUGGAAACAAAGGGGUGAGCUCCAACCACGAGCUGCUUUGCUUUUAAUUAACCACUGUUGCAGUUGGAGAGGCGUCGAGCAGUCCCACGUAGCAUCCAGGCUCUGUGCCUUCCCUGGGAGGGCAGGGCAGGGCAGGGCGAGCGGCGCGGUGGUAGGAAAGCUGGAGAGUGAAAAAAGGGGAAGAAAAAGACGAGCUAAUGGAAAGCGUAGGAGAGGGAAAGUUCCCGUUUUUGGGACGAGCUGUGCUGGUUUCCUUUCAGCCCUGCUGUAACAUCGUGUUGGUAAUGCCAAGAAAGCUGCAUUCAGUGCUCGUCGGUUCCCAGCGCUGACCUCCUUGCUCCUGCAGUCUGGGAGUGCUGCAGCUCCUCCCUGCUCCUGUCUCACAUCAGGACAACAGAGCAGCUUCCCCCAGAUCCCAUAUGAACCGAACAGCGGUGAGACAAGACGAAGAGUCCAAGCAUUUCACAGAAAUGAGGACUAAUGAGAAUAAUUAAGAGGCAGGAACUGACACACGAACCAACAGAACACAAAGGCACGUGGGGCAAUGUUUUAUGGAAGUCUGAGCCAUACCAAUAACGUGAAACACUUUGGCUGCCCUGCACCUUCCCUUCCUUGUUCCAAGGGGUUCCAAUUGCUGCCCUGUCUUCCAGAAGUCCAGAGGCAGCGACACAAGAACCACACAGUACCGGUGCUUGCGAUGGGUUGGCCACCCCACACCCUCUGCAGGGCUCAGCACAGGGAAAGGCGACCUCCUGAGGUAUCUGAUGCUUUCUCAUUGAUCCACCACUAGUGUCAGAGGGGCUCGAGGUCUCGCAGCAGCAGUGUGUGCCACCAGGCCAGGCAGAAUGUCUCAGCAGCAUGAAUCCAUCUCUGGCCUGCAUCCCCCUCUCCCCAGCGCCAUGCAGAGAAGAGGACAGGACCAGGAGCACUGGGGUCACUCCAUCAGCUGUCACCGUGCUCAGCAAGCAGUGCCUCUCGUUCCUCACCAGCACUGGGCUGUCCUGUGCGAUAGGCAAGGAACUGGAAGGAGAUCUGAGGAGGCGUUAAGGAUCUUGAAAAGGUGAGGAUCAGCACAACAAGCCCGCAGAGGCCGUCUGCACCACGAGAACAAUGAGCUCGAUGCAACUAUAAGCAAAACAUUCAGCUCUUGCAACACUGCAUGAGUCACAAGCAUGGGAUGGAGGAAGUCACAGCCCCAAACCAUCACCACCCUGAAGGAAAGCAUGGAAGGGGAAAGGAUACGAUGACAUCCAAGGAGAGGACACCCAGGCUGCCGAUGAGCCAGGGCAGGUGAUGCAGGAUGUAGUCGCCUUCGCUCUGCCCUGGCUCAGGGUUCUUCAGCAGCACACUGGUGCCAUACAGCAAGUUCCCCAGCAUCACCAGGGCGAAGAGCAGGAAGGAGACACCGGCUGUGGAUUUCCUCCGGUACUGGAAGGAGAGGCUGCGUUACAUGGAAAGAAGCUCUGAAAUCUACCUAUCCACGUGGUGUUAAUCACUCUGCCGUGGGAAAAGAGAAAAUGGGAACCGAUUGCCGAGUACCGUUUGGUUCCCUUUUUGCUUGCAAAUGUGGAAAAAAAAAUGAAAGCUCCACGCUGACAUUAUUAAGUUGGAGGGGAAGGAAAACGAAUCGGGCUUCAGAGCACGCUGUGACACAGUGAGAAGUAAGGGAGCUGCACCCACCAAGCAGAGAGGAAGGAAGAAACCCACUGCCCUGCUCAGACCGAGACUUUGCAUGCCUGCUGCCCUCACUUACGUUGGUGUAGAUCUGGGGGAGCCGGGAGCAGAGGUACAGCACGGAGGAGAUGGAGCCGAUGGCAAAGCCAAUGAUCUCAGUCUUGCUGAUGGGCUCAGGGCCAGGCCCCUCCAGGCCCAAGGAGAGCAGAGAUCUCCCUCCGAAGGCUGCAGGGUUGGGAGCCGGGCCGGUGUCGUGGCUCAGCACAGUGAGGGUCGUGGCUGUUCCCAGCAGGCAGAAGAGGCAGGCGGCGUUGAUGGAGGCUGUGGCUGUGGGGAGACAAGUGGGGGACAUUUGAGGUGGGCUGCUCCUUCUGCAGGGCUGGGUCUGGUGUUUGCAGCAAUUCUGAGCCCUCUUAUCUCCAUCUGCGGUGUUGGGAUCCGGCGGUGGGGCAUGUGGGGUUUUUAUCUGGCAGUGAUAAGGGCCAUUUGUAACUUAGCGGGGAGGAAACCUCUCCUAUCUCAGCAGUUUCCGUUGUUUAGGAUUAAAAUCACCCCAAGCUUUUUGCUGCCCGUUCUGCCACACUGCCCCAACCCUGCAGCCCACCCAGCUAAGGGACAAGGGUACGAGGGGCUCUCUUUAUGUCACAGAAUGGCUUAGGCUGGAGGGAACCUCAAAGAUCACCCAGUUCCAACCCUCAACCUGGCCUUGAACACCACCAGGGAUGGGGCAUCCCACACCUUGGGGGUUUCUCCAAGGUCCCCCUGCCCCACUUAUGUCUCCACAGAUGGGCAUUAGCCGCAGCUCACCUCCUGUGCCCCAGUUCUUGGCUUUGUAGUAGCCGUACAGGGAAAGCAUCACCAGGUCUGCCAGCACGUAGUACACAGCGGUGUACACCUGAAGAACAAGGAUGGGAGCUCUGAGCACACCCAGAUCCCAGCCUUGGGGACAGGGGAGCCAUGCUGGACAGAGCUGGGGGUACCUGCAGGGGCAGCUGGUUUGCCAGGAAGGAUCCAAUGAGGUUCAGGAGGUCUCCACCAAGCCAGCCCAGCAGGAAGUAUAUGGAGAGCGCCCGGUCCAUGAUGCCCGUCUUGCAGGCUUGGUAGAACUGCCUGCAGGAAGGACACAAAGCAUCAGCUCCAACCUGUUCCAUGCCCCCUGGGGACCUCCUGGGGUUUUUCUCUUGCUCCCAGCACUCAAACGUGAGGUCUGAGUGAGAGUGGGGGCAAAAAGCUGGAGCACAGAUUGAAAUGAGAACUCUAGAAUGGCUUGGGUUGGAAGGGUUAGGUUAGAAGGGAGCUUAA